rnacentral:lncRNA from 10 species
GUAACAGUCGUUUAUUAUCAUUUUGAAGUAUUAUGUAUUGCACAUAAUCAUGUGUGCUACCUUUUUAUAUGACUGGCAGCAUGGUAGGUUUGUUUACACCAGCAUCACAACAAACAUGUGAGUAAUACAUUGCGGUACAGUGUUACAAUGGCUUUGUCGCUAGGUGAUAAGAAUUUUUCAGCUCCAUUAUAAUCUUAUGGGACUAAUGUCAUAUAUGUAGUCCAUCGAUGAUCAAAAUGUCAUUAUGGGGCACAUGACUAUAAAUGUACCUCUUGAGGACUGGCCUUUCUGACAGCUUUUUUUUUUAGUUUUGAGGAUCAAACCCUUGGGGCCAUUGAUUCAUUGGAUCAUUCAGCAAAUGAUCAAAUGGGUAAUUUGCGGUACAAUCUAAGCAAAGGAAAACCUGAAGAUGUCCAUUUCUUCAAGGAAGCUCUAAUCUGGAACAGCAAUAAAUUCUCUACGCAAAAGAGAAACACUCAAGGCAGUAAGGUAACAGCUCUGAAAGUGCUAAAAAUAUGGAGGGGAGCGAGCGAUAACUUGUAUGGUCACCAUUGACCUUGCUGAUGCAGAAAUAAAUCAUCUUUACUCUUCAUUCUCUUGAAUUCUCACCUACCCUGCCACCUCAUCCAAAAUUUGUUAAUUCUAUGUGCAAAACAUCUUUCAAAUCCACCCCUCUCUCUUCAUCCUCACUGCCCCCAUCCUAGUCCACAUCAAUGCCAGUCUUCUGAUUUUCCUGUCCCUAGUCUGAUCUUCUCCCAAUGCACUCUGCAGAGUGACCUUUAUGAAAUGUAGAUCUGAUUAUGCCACGUUCCCACUUUAAAAGCCUCUAGAGGUGUGAACCUCUAGAGUCUUCUAGAAUCUGACUUCCAUUCUCUGUCCAGCUUUAUUUCUUGCUGGACUACUCUAUGCUCCAGCCAUAUUGGUCAAAAAUUGUUUUAGUUUCUGGAACCUAUGGUGAUCCUCUCACCGAGGCCUGCUAUUUUCUCUUACUGGAACUCUGUCCCCUCCCCUGGGCACCCUCCCGCCUCUGGCCUAGCGAAUUCCUUCCAUCUUCCGGUCUCAGUUCCUCCAAGAAACCUUCUCACCUAACCCGUCCGGUCAGGGUACUUUCCUUACCUAACACCCACUCCCUCGUUUACUUCUCUUUGGCUGGACUGAAGUUGGGCAGGGCAGGGGCUAGUCUGCCUUCUUCUGGGCCCAACCCUCCCGGCCGGCACCACAGGCAUUACAGGAAAUCAUUUUUCAGAUGCUACCUGGGGACUCCUGCAGCUGCUGUGCAUUUUCUUGGAAUCUCUCAUGGAACCAUGCAUGAUGACUGUUUCUACAUCUCUGCAUGGGAAGGAACUCAGGGAUAGAGGGCACCCCGUUCCAUCCCCAUCCCAGCCCCUAGUGCAGGGGAAGAGAGCCGUGGAUGUUAACUAUUCACCUUCAGAUGCCCUUUCAUGGGGUAGGAACUGGGAAGGGCAGAGGUAGUAACAUCUGAACAAAGCUGGGUGAAUUCCCACGGAAGACGGAGCAUCGAGUCGUCAAUGCCUUUUGGUAAACAAGUCGCAGCUCUUCCGUCUUGGCUCAUCCUCAUGGGCACAUCCCAGUGGUGUUCCCUGCCCACCUCUGCACCCACAUUUUAAGUGCCUGGAAUGUGUGAGACGGAUCCUGCCCUUUCCUUCACCAAGCCACCUAGCAGAACCCAUGCCAUCCAGGGCAUCUGCGAGAGAAACACCUCUCCCAGCCUCCCCUGAGCAGCCCACUAGCGCUGUGGAUUCCAGAUCCUGAAACUGCAUCUUGCACUCGGUGUCCUGAGCCCAGCUGAAGUGGCAGGAGCACCACUGACUCCAGAACAGACUUGUAAAGAAAGAAGGUAUCUCCCAAGUCAGCCACAGAGGCUCAUGGUUUCCUGCUCCAUCUAGUCCUGGGUGUUUGCUUAAAUGGGCACUGGCUGACAUGACUGAAACCUCAUGCAUCCAUCACACAUUCACCCUCAACAAAGACACAGCCCCUCCUUUAAGGCCUGUGCUCCCUGUACAUACACAGUGCCCUGCAGCACAGAGAAACCACAUGAAUGGCCUUCUUGGCUCAAGGAGUCAGGGAGUAGGGGCCUGCUGAGCAUGACCAUGUCCAGAGAGUGGGGACCCCAAGAACUGUAACAGCCCAUUGGACAGAUGUGGGCAGGAAUGGGGACAAAAUCACCCACAGUCUCAGACCCCAAAUGAGGUGUGAAUAUGAAAUCCAUGAAAACCUCAUGUGGAGGCCAAAAGACUAACUAGAUUCCCAUCUCAUCUCUCCAGGCCAGAAGCCUAUUAUCCAAUCCUUCCUCUCAUUGCAAGCCCCAGAAGUAACAGCAAUUACAAAAUAAAGAAAAAUAAGAACUUGUCAGCUCCAAUUUUGGGGUUUGAAUGUGGUCUCUGGGGAAUGAUCAGACGGUGGAAGCAGCUGUGGGCAGGGACUCCUCAUGCAGCGAUGACUACUCACUAACCCAGGGCAUGCAUUCGAGGUAAACCCUGUGGGAUUCAGGGCUUGUCCUGCAUCUCACAGUUGAGCGGGCAAGAGCCACCUCUGCCCAAGUGAGGCUUUGUCCCGCACGUCAUCUGUAUGACCUUGCUCUAGGCUGCUCAGGGACGGUAAGAUUUUUGUUCUUGAGGACUGGAGCAGGUGAUGGCCCAAGUGCAAUGAGUUCUGUGGGCAUCAAUGCUCAAAAUAAACACUAAUGCACUACAGUCCCUCCCACUUGAGAGGCCCCUACCUGUCCCACAAUAUCUCAUCCACCUAGAAUUGAAUCCUGGGUCAGAUCCAUACUCAACCAACUCAUUUAAGUGCUACCAAGGGCUGACAGUGGUAAUAGGCUUUCCCUAUUACCUAUAAGGGGCAUAUGUUCCUUUUAUAGAUGCAGAAAUUAGAAGUCAGAUUGCUUAAGUGACUUG